GGGGAUGUAUAGUCUCGACAGGAUUGCUCUUUAAAAACUGCAAGCCGCUCAGGAAACAUUAAGCGUUAAAUAUUGUUUCAAAACACAAACGGCAUUAAAAAUACCGUUGCUGACGCUGCUAAUGGCGUAAAAGGUUUCAUUUUCGGGGUUACACCUGGAUUUAGACCUUCUCUCGCUUUAGCUGCCUAAAGCUACUUUAGAAUUUGUCCUCUUUCUGACGGGAUACUAAGGUACGUACAAAGUCAGGAUGCUGUAAGUAAGGUGUUGGUUGAUCCUUGCUAACAAAAGACAAUUCAAUCAUUCAUUAGUUUUCCUGCUAACUGGUUACAACUAUUGAAUAAAAAUUAAUUAGCUAAGCUUGUAGAAGUUUUUUUUAGUCACAAUUUUGGACUCGGCUGCAACGCCGACAUCUCCACCA
rnacentral:tmRNA from 1 species